UAGCAACAAAAUGAAACCAAAAUGGCGAGAAUUUCUUGUCCUGAAAAUAUAAAUGAAUUGAGAAGAAAAUACAUAAUUAUUUGCUCAAUGUUAACAUAAACUAUAGUAAGAACAAACAAGAAAGGUGUAGUUUUAUUUAAGGUACAGUAUUUUACUAUUUUUGUUUUAGCAUGUUUAUUUAUUGGUGUAGUUUUAUGUCACGAUCUACUAGAAAAACAUUACAAAUUUUGUGUGACAGUGGCAGUUCACAGUUUGGUCAAGUACUCAUGUUUCAAAUUUGAAAAUAUUAUAUUUAGAAAAGAUGGAUGAUAAUUCUUUAAUAAAUACAAUAUCAAUUUCGCAUAAUAAUUUUAAAACGUGUCAAUUGAUGAUGAGUAUUUUUCAUGGUCAAUAAAUUUACAUGGAAACCACUGGCCCUGUGCCAAGGCAUGUCUGGUGGGAAAUGUUUCUUAAUUUUACAGUGCGUCUACUGUAAGUGGGGCCACUUAGAGAACACUAACCAAUCACAUUGCAGCACAGAAAGUGAAAAAAUCAACAAACGGCGCAUUAGCCAAUCAGCAUUAGGACAAAAACAAUUCGAACAAAUAAACGAAUGGCAAACGGUAAAAAUAGACAUGUAAAAGUAAACAUUGCAGUUAAUGGCUUCCUGAAUCUUUCUUUUGAUUGGACGAGCUUUAGUUUGAUUAGAUUUUUCUUUCUGUUCUGCAAUGUGAUUGGUUAGUGUUCUCUAAGUGGCCCCACUUACAGUAGAUGCACUGUAACUAUAUAUUUUCUAUCACGGGUACUUUACAGUUUACUGUACCCAUGUACCGCAAGUAUUUGAUGGUGUGUGUUCUGAUGGCGAGUUUCCCUGUUCUUUUAUUGCGAGUUUCCCAUAGAAAUAUUAGACCUAGAAUGCGUGCUUGGUCACGUGACCGGUGUCCAAACUGAAAACAAAAAUGCCCUUAUAAAUCCGCCAUGUUGAAUUUGAGUAGGAGUGCAAACUACAAAGUAUAAACAAAACUAAAACUAUAAAGUUUUCAUCGUCAAAACGUUUGGUAUUUGUAGUUUGGGGAUAGAAUUUGAAAUAUUAAGUUCUUUAAAGGCUCAAAGCAAAUGUGCCGUUACAAAAACGGUGAAAAUCGAGCAGCCUUGUAUAAAAAACAAGUAGUUUUUUUGUGUAGUUUCGCGUAUAAAAUAUAACUUACUCAUAAAACAUUUUUGCAAGCUCUGAACGUAACUGUUUUGCUAAUACUUUAUAAAAUUACGAGAUGAUAGUUCAUUCUUCGUCGGGUUUUGUUUUUCUUCAAUCUAAACGAAGUGUUUUCAUGUUUUUGAAACAAAAAUAUUUAGUUGUUGAUAUUUAAAACUGUAAAUCGCCUAAAUGAUCGUCGAAAACAUAUGGUUUCAAAAGCGUUGCCUCAAGCUCAAGCAACGUAUAAAAAAGUAUAAAAGUAGUUGUGUAAGUUUAAAAAGAUUAUUGAACUCUAUUUAUAUUAUAAAACAGUUGAAAUAUAUUUUUUAAAACAUACCUAUUGAGUUUCAGUUUGUCUUGAUUUUUCGUGUUUUGUUUUGGCUUGCACAACAACGUUGAAAAUGUAUUUUGAAACGACGAUUUCUCUAUAUAUUCUGUUCAGAACUAUUGCUCUUCGUAAAAAAACCCAUGGGAAUGGGUUUUUCUCCAUUAAAAACACUUUUUUCCACUUCAAGUCUGGAUAGAAUUGUUUUUGCAAACUUUGUUGAAAAAAACAAUUCGCACUCCCGGCACCGCGCGAAAUUCCACGCCACAGGAGUCUGGGACUAGCCAAAAUGCCCUUAUAAAUCCGCCAUUUUGUGGAGACAAAAUUUUUACUGAGAAGAGAUAGGAGCACGCAUUCUAUGUCUAUUAUUUCUAUGGAGUUUCCCCAUUCUUUUAUCGCGUGUCCGGUACGGUAAAGUGUAAAAUUUCCCCUAUCACUUAGUACAUUGUUAUAUCCGGCACAAAAGAAUGGUUAAUUCCAUAUGCAUAUGGUUGGAUAUUCAGCCUGCACUAAAUAAUUAGGUCAGAUAAAUAGCAGUUACAUGUUACUAGCAAAUAUUCUUUGAAUGUUUCAUGGAAAAUAUCCACCUUUUUGAAAAAUAAUGCUAAAUUUACAUACUGCAAUUUGUCUGUCCAAUUUUUAGUUUUAUUCCCGGCAUAAAGUGGAAAAACCAGAGUCUGGUUAAAAUCGAAUCUUUACUUAGGCAAAAUUAAUGUCUGCUUCAUGCCCCCAUGUCUUUUCCACAAUUCCUUGAUUCUAGGCCUUUCUGUGCAGAAAAUUCUUGCAAUAGACAUUUCUUAUAAUGACAUCAAACGUAGACAAACACUUAAGGUUACAGAACACCUUUGAGUGUUAAUUUUGCCUAAAUUUUUUUUAUUGGUUUCCAUGAAAGCAUUAGACUAGUUCUACUACCUGACCAAGUUUGAACGAAAAAUGUUGAAAACUCGCAUUGUUAUUUAAUAAAAUACAUUUCGCUGCAAUAAGAAAAACAUUGAAAAUGUAAUAUUCAAAUUCAAUUUUCUCCCGAAGAAUUUUACGGCAAUUACUGAUUUUCAAACGAGUUGUGCUCCUGCGGGUUUUAACGAAUUUCUCUCAAAUUUUCACAGGACAUAGCUAAAGACGUCAGUUUCAAAACUGUGUUCGGCUUUGUUCUAAUUUUGGAUAUUUUAAUAAUAAAGAGCAAUUCACUCAAACAAUUCAGAAAUAUAUUGCAGUCGUCAAAGAAAUCGCCAUAUCAGCGGAAUGACGAAAUAAACAAAAAUUUCCGAAGCACAGUUUUUUAGAACAACUAUUUUACUGUUUAAAAAUGGUAUUUUCAUAAAUAUAACUUAAAACCAGCAGGAGCACAACUCAAAAGCGUCACGGUACUGCGAUUUAAGAUUUUCCUGAAUAAUUCUUACAUUAUUUUAUUGUUUGUUAAUUUUAUAACUUUACCAUAUUUUGCAUGCACUGGCGAACAUUUGGUGAAAAUUUGAUGAAAAUCGGACUGAUUUUGAGCGCGCAGUACUUUAGCGAUUUUCCGCAAAACGCCAAAAAGGGUGUCCUGUAACCUUAAUGCAAUGUCCCACACUGCAAAAAAUUCUGAGUAGAAUCCACUCAAAAAAUUGAGUAAAUGAAUGCACCCACAGUGACACAAAAUAGUGAGUAAAACUACUCAUAAAAUGUGAGUAAUAUUUACUCAAAUUUUUGAGUUUAUUUACUCAAAAAACUGAGUUGAAAGUACUCAAGUUAUACACAUUUACAGUUACUCACGGUAGGAGUAAACAAUAAAUUACUCAAACUUUGAGUAAACGUACUCAAAACGUGAGUAAUUUUACUCGAAAUUUGAGUAUUUUUACUCAAAAAAAGAGUUCUAGUUACUCAAAUAAAAUGCACCCAUAGUGACUCCUUAUUUUGAGUAAAUGUACAGUUUACUCAAACUUUGAGUAAAUUUACUCAAACUUUGAGUAUGUUUACUCAAAAAAAGAGUUCUAGUUACUCAAUAAAAUGUACCCAUAGUGACUCGUUAUUUUGAGUAAAUGUACAGUUUACUCAAACUCUGAGUAUUUUUACUCAAAAAAGAGUUCUAGUUACUCAAAUAAAAUGCGCCCGAAAUGACUCUCUAUUUUGAGUAAAUGUACAGUUUACUCAAACUUUGAGUACAUCUACUAAAAAAUGCUCCAGUUACUCUAUGAACAAGUGGUGUGUCACUGUCAAACCAUAACAUUGAGUAACUAAUUAAAGUAGCAGACAAAAGUACUCCACAGUGUGCCACAGCAAGGAACAAAAGUACUCCACAGUGUGUUACUUUGAGAAACAAAAAUAAUUAUAUAUACUAUUAAUCGUCAAUAGAAUUAUGCAAGCACAAACAAUAUUUUUUGAAGAAUAAACGUUUAUAAUUAUUAAAACCCCCCACAACUCAACAAGAUUUUUAAAAUUAUUACUCUAGUACACUGAACUAUAUGUAUACAUGGAUGGAAGGUUAUUACUUUAGUGACUUUAGCCAAAAUGGCGGCUCGAUCGCGAAGUCAUUCUCGGACGUCAAUUUUAUAAUAAGUUCCAGACUUUACUGUAAUAGUUUCAGUUGGCAGGUUUCAGUUCGUUUGAGCUGAUAAACCUUCAAUGUACAGUAUAUAUAGUUCAGUUGUACUGUAAUACAUGCAUCUACAUACACCAAUUGAAAAAUGAAAUAUAAAGUCUUAAAAGAUCAAAGAGGUAAGAUAAAACAGUCUUAAUAUAUAUAUAUAUAUAUAUAUAUAUAUAUAUAUAUAUAUAUAUAUAUAUAUAUAUAUAUAUAUAUAUAUAUAUAUAUAUAUAUAUAUAUAGUGUUUAAUUAAGGCCAUGAGGCAAUUUUUGGUGCAACUUCCAAUGCAACUUCUGGCAUAUAUAGCAAUGUUAUGUAAAACGUAAUCAGAGUAAAUUUAAGGUCGCUGAAUCUCAGUUAAUACUUUUUAUGUGAUGUUAUUAUAAAUAUACUGUACAUCAAUCUAUGUGGCAGAAGUUGCAACAAAAAUUGCCUCGUGUAAGAUUGCUUAAAAUGGCUAUAGCACAUUUUAAUACUUAGCAGUUUCAAUCAUCAUCUCCGAUCAUAAUUGUAUUGAGCUUGUUCACAAAGGUUAUCACAGAAGUCAGUAGCUUCUUGCUGUUGUUUAUGUUUAUGUUUAGUAGCUUUAGUACACACGACUACCUGGGUACUGUCCAUAUAAGUACAUAAUUUGUAGCCACGAAUGCCACAGCUACAUCUACCAGCCAUCUUCAGAAGAUAUAAAGGACCAUGGUUUCGGCAACAACGGCCAUCAAUCUCGUUGCAGUCGUUGCAGUUUUCAAUGUUUCUCUUUACCAGAAUUUGGGAGGUUACCAUGCAUAUUACAAGCUGACAGCAUCCUCAAAGCUUUCAUCCUUAUGCCAAAAUAAGAAAUGUAAUGAGAUUAUACACAUUUAAUUUUUAUUUACAGCAUGCCUGGCACAAGCAUGCAGUAUAUAUAAGGCCAAAUUAAUUAAAUAAAAACUUGGCAUCACCGCCCGCCUCUCGAUUUCUGCUGCCUCUUUUUUAUGUAAAUCUCUUCGUUUUACAGCUUAAACAGUUUAAUAUUUGAAUUUUUUUUCAUGCUCAGACCUUCGCGCUAUAUACUGAUCGAUAGGAGCGUGUGGGCUUGGGUAUACAGAAUUCUUAUAGUAAAAUGGCGCCCUUCGCAACAUCAGUACAAAGAAUUUCACCGAUAUGGUAGAAAAACCGCCCCCAUCCCCCUUUAAAAAUUUAAAAAUGAGUAAAAAUUUAAAAAACACUGCCCGCCCGCCUCUGAAAAUUUGUGAGAAUGUGACGCUAACCAAAUAUUUUUUUCAUUUGGCCUAAGCACAGGUUCGCAGAAGCUAGCUUCACCAUUCCCCCAAUGGGCAAACCCAUGUAGUAAUUGUUUCUUACUGAGUUAAUACUUAAUGAAUUAAUAUAAGUAAAAAUAUAUAUAAUUUAUAUACAAGUACAUUUUAGUUCAUGAAAUGCUAAAAACUCCUGAAUGCUAAAAUAUAUCUUUCAUUUGCUACCGGUAUACACAGUAUUUGACUAUGCAAAAUAGAAAAUUGUCAAUAUUUAUACAGAAGGUAUAUGUCCAUGCAUCUCCCCUUUCAUGAGCAUGCAGCUUGUUUGACCAUGACACUCAAAAGUGGUGCUGGUAAAAGGUGGCAAGUACCAGCCUUACAAAACAACAGUAAACUGCAUCAGCAUAUAUUUGUUCCCGCUGAUAGAUGGCUUUAAGAUGUGCCAGCUGAGUGAGCUAUUGGUCAAAGGCGGCAAGUACCAGCCUUACACAAAAGCUGAAAACAGCGCUACUAAAUAAAGAUCAAAAUUCAAAACAAACUGUAUUGUUGUUUAAGUUCAUUUCCUUUGCUGUUUUAACUCGCAUGUUCAUUUUUGUUUAAUAUAAGUAAAAAUAUAUAUAAAGUAUUAUGCAAGUACAUUUUGGUUCAUGCAAUAUGCUAAAAAGUGCUAAAUAUCAUAUAGAUAGAGCAAAAUAUACUGUAUGUAUAUAUAUAUAUAUAUAUAAUGCUAACCUACUGUUUCUUUCAUUUGCUAUAUCUUUGACCAUGCAAAAUAGAAAAUUGUCAAUACAGAAGGUAUACAUUCAUGCAUCUCCCCUUUCAUGAGUGGCUUGUUUGACCAUGCCACUCAAAAGAAGUGCUGGUAAAAGGCAGCAAGUACCAGCCUUACACAACAACAGUCAACUGCAUCAGCAUGAAUGUAUACAAGCUUUGAAUUAUGUCAUAGCAGUUCCCACUGACAGGUGGCUCUAAGAUGUGCCACCUGAGUGAGCUAUUGGUCAAAGGCGGCAAGUACCAGCCUUACACAAAAGCUGAAACAAGCACUACUAAGAUCAAAAUUCAAAACAAACUGUAUUGUUAUUUAAGUUCAUUACCUUUGCUGUUUUAACUCACAAGUUCAUUUUGUCUAAUAUAAGUAAAAUUGUAAUUAUUGUAAUAAAUUGUAAUAUAUAUAAUUUAUAUACGAGUACAUUUUGGUUCAUGAAAUGCUAAAAAGUGCUAUUUUUAAAUUAUCAUAUAGAUAGAGGAAAAUAUACUGCAUGCAUGUGUAUAUACUAACCUACUGUUUCUUUCAUUUGCUAUAUAUUUGACCAUGUUGCAAAAUAGAAAAUUGUCAAUAUAGAAGGUAUACAUUCAUGCAUCUCCCCUUUCAUGAGCGGCUUGUUUGACCAUGCCACUCAAAAGAAGUGCUGGUAAAAGGCAGCAAGUACCAGCCUUACACAACAACAGUAAACUGCAUCAGCAUGAAUGUAUACAAGCUUUGAAUUAUGUCAUAGCAGUUCCCACUGACAGGCGGCUCUAAGAUGUGCCACCUGAGUGAGCUAUUGGUCAAAGGCGGCAAGUACCAGCCUUACACAAAAGCUGAAAACAGCACUACUAAGAUCAAAAUUCAAAACAAACUGUAUUGUUAUUUAAGUUCAUUACAUUUGCUGUUUUAACUCACAAGUUCAUUUUGUCUAAUAUAAGUAAAAUUGUAAUUAUUUAAUAUACCGUAUAAAAUUUAUAUACGAGUACAUUUUGGUUCAUGAAAUGCUAAAAAGUGCUAUUUUUAUAUUAUCAUAUAGAUAGAGGAAAAUAUACUGCAUGCAUAUGUAUAUACUAACCUACUGUUUCUUUCAUUUGCUAUAUAUUUGACCAUGAUGCAAAACAGAAAAUUGUCAAUACAGAAGGUAUACAUUCAUGCAUCUCCCCUUUCAUGAGCGGCUUGUUUGACCAUGCCACUCAAAAGAAGUGCUGGUAAAAGGCGGCAAGUACCAGCCUUACACAACAACAGUAAACUGCAUCAGCAUGAAUGUAUACAAGCUUUGAAUUAUGUCAUAGCAGUUCCCACUGACAGGUGGCUCUAAGAUUUGCCACCUGAGUGAGCUAUUGGUCAAAGGCAGCAAGUACCAGCCUUACACAAAAGCUGAAAACAGCACUACUAAGAUCAAAAUUCAAAACAAACUGUAUUGUUAUUUAAGUUCAUUACCUUUGCUGUUUUAACUCACAAGUUCAUUUUGUCUAAUAUAAGUAAAAUUGUAAUUAUUUAAUAUACCGUAUAUAAUUUAUAUACAAGUACAUUUUGGUUCAUGAAAUGCUAAAAAGUGCUAUUUUUAAAUUAUCAUAUAGAUAGAGGAAAAUAUACUGCAUGCAUAUGUAUAUACUAACCUACUGUUUCUUUCAUUUGCUAUAUAUUUGACCAUGAUGCAAAAUAGAAAAUUGUCAAUACAGAAGGUAUACAUUCAUGCAUCUCCCCUUUCAUGAGCGGCUUGUUUGACCAUGCCACUCAAAAGAAGUGCUGGUAAAAGGCGGCAAGUACCAGCCUUACACAACAACAGUAAACUGCAUCAGCAUGAAUGUAUACAAGCUUUGAAUUAUGUCAUAGCAGUUCCCACUGACAGGUGGCUCUAAGAUGUGCCACCUGAGUGAGCUAUUGGUCAAAGGCGGCAAGUACCAGCCUUACACAAAAGCUGAAAACAGCACUACUAAGAUCAAAAUUCAAAACAAACUGUGUUUAAGUUCAUUACUAUUGCUGUUUUAACCCACAAGUUCAUUUCUAUUAAUAAAUCCUACUGUUUCCUCCUUUACUGUAUUUCGACUAUGCAAAGUUAAAAAUCAUGCACCCCCCCCCCAUCUGAGUCAAAGAUUUCAUGUAGAAAACUGUGGAAAAGAGACUUUCAGAGUCAACUUUUAAGGCCAACCAUACCUCUCAUACAUGUUACAGUAGAUAUAGUAGCUGCUGCGUGAUCAUUGGAUCACCGUUCUGCAUAACCUGCUAUAUUAUUGACUUAAUUCCAGCUCAGACAAGCUGUUUUAAAAAUAUGAAAGUAAAACCAACCUUGAUCGUUGAGCCAGGCUUGUCCAUCAAUCAUAUUGUCUAAAAAAUCAGUGAAUGUCAUCUUAAUUAUUCUUUUCAUAUUUCCCUUUAGUUUCUGAAUGGCGAAUAACAGUUUUACCAUGCAUUCGUAAUAGGUGUCAAGUUUUAGCGUUACAAUAUAAAGCCAACAUAGUAUAGGAUGAAUAUUAUUGCCUUCCUAUCUGCAUAUAAUUUGGAAUUUAGCCGUUGGCGAGCAAUUGAAAAUAAUUUUCACAUUGGGGAACAAUAGCUACUCACAUAUUGUCACAUGCAACCCUUUGUUAUAUAAUAAACGUUAUAAACCUGGGCAUAAUAUUUACACUCAGUCUUUCUGAUCAAUCUGAUGUCUGGCAAUGAUCAUAUUACUAACAGCAAAUUUCGCACGAAUGGUGACCGGCAACAUACUGUAUUCAAAAGAAGGAUUUUACGCGCAAACACCAUAAUCAAUGCUGUACAGUUAAAUAGCACCUAGCGUUUACAUUAUUUAAUAGAUUGGGUCACAGUGCGGUGAACAUAUACUGAAAAUCUGCAGAAGAUAGUGCCGGUGUCCCAGGAUUUUCGCCCCCCCCCCUGGGGGGCGAAAAUCCUAGGAAAUUCGCCCCCCUUUAGGAAAUUCGCCCCCCUUUAGAAACUUCACCUUUUCUUUAGGAUUUUUGUCCUCCGUUCAGAAGUUCGACCUUCCUAACAGUUGCAUGGGAUAAUUAUUACAUGGCUUUAGUCAUUUGAAAUCAGUAUCAAUUCAAAAUUGUUAAGACAGAGCUUGAAAUAACAACCGAUCAAUGAUCGGCAUGGAAUUGAUUAUGAUCCGCGGAAAAGCAGGGUUUCGGUUUCCAACCUGAAAAAAUCAGGGAAAGUCAUGAUCGAGAACUUUGGGAACGUUAUUUCAAGCCCUGUAAGAAUACAAAUUUACAAUUACAUGUAUCGAAAGGGCUUACACAGUUCACAGUUAAUAGACUAAGACUUAUGACGCUUCACAGCACACCAUGCAUAUUUUGCAUUUUCAGUGUUAAUCGUUAAACUCAUUGUUAAAAAGUAAUCACCGUGGUGGUUAUUGUCAUUAUUGGUAUUGUUUUGCAUCCACAUUUUGUCGUUAUCGGAAAAUGUAUGGCUUACAAGUUGUCACUAUUUUUUACUUGCAUUAUUUCAAUAUAGUUUGUAAAUUUCAGAAGCGAAGGUAGAACUUGCCAAUAAGCAAUACUCCAAUAAUAUACGUUCAAAAAAGACAAAAAAGCUUUUAGUUUUGCAGAGUUUAAGGCAUUGAUAAAAUCAAAGUAUCAUGAAACAUGAAAUUAUUUGAAUAAACCACACCACAUAUAUAUAAUGCAAUUUUCUUUGCGGAAGUUAAAAAUCAAGAUUACAUCACUGACACUGACAUGGAAAGUUGACGAUUCAAUGGACAAUAGUCAAUACGCUUCCCAACAAAUUCCAUAGAUUUUUUAUUAAUCCUAUAGUUUAUUGUUAGCAUGGAAGUGAUUAAUGUGGCGGCUAUUGUUAACAUUGGUAUUGAUAAAAUUUGCAAGCGAUUGUUUUUAUAAUAUGUUAUGUGAAUGUAACUGCCAGAAGAAUACGACAACAUGAUUUUAUGAGAUCUCUGUGGGCAAUGGUUCCACUUUAGAUGUGUAGAAUAUGACACUAGUCUAAGUACCUCAAAUGAGUGGUUAUGCAGACUGUGCACACCACCAGCUGCUAAGAAGCCUAAAAUGUGUAUGUGAUUUUGUCUCCUUGUAAUAAAUAAAUAAAUCACACAAUAAAUCUUUUCAACUUGCAAUCGUUUUGUUUUUAGAUCAAAAAUUCAAAAUUUAUAUGGGGGGCGAAAUUCCUAAAGGGGGGCGAUAUUCCUAGGAGAUUCGCCCCCUGGGGGGCGAUAUUCCUAGGAGAUUCGCCCCGGGGGGGGCGAAUAUCCUAGGAAUAUCGCCCCCCUUUUGAGAGGGGGGGCGAAUCUCCUGGGGGGGCGAAUCUCCUGUGACACCGGUACAUAUGACACACCGGAGGCGUUUCAAAAACGCGGCGCGAUUUUUGAAUUUUCAAAGUAAAUGAAACCGCUAACGAAAGGAACGUUUAAAAUAUAUAUACCAAAUGGCUCAAUAUGUUAGAGCGCAAUAUUUGAAAAACUUAAAUCCGGAUCAAAGUUACAUAUAUGUCAAUGAGAAUCGAAAUGAAUGAAUGCCGAAUUGCGUCGUCUGUCUGCUCGCGGCACAAUAUGCCAAUCGUAGAACAUACCUUUAAAACUUUCACAGUAGUCGGCAAAGUCAACUUUGAUCAACCACUCUCGAACGUCUUUCUUUAACAUCUUCAAUAAAUAAAUUCUUGUUGUGUUCAACAAAAAUUAGAUGACUCGAGCGCCUUUACAGUGAACACCAGAGUGAACACAUUGACUGACCGUGGACCGACAGAUUGACAGAAUAUAGGAUGCAAUUUGACUAUGCCGCGUUUACAGCCCGCAUGGAUUUCUCCGUCGAUGAUUGGUUAAUGGCUGGAAUGACGUUAGUUAUACUAUAAUUAGGAAGUUUGUAACAAAGACCCACAUCCUGUAUAACACUUCUCGCUAGACGAUUUAUGAAAAGGGAAAAGUGUGACAGGACGUGAGUGUAUUGCUAGAGGAUUAACACGAAAAGAGCAAAAUAUUUUGCUAGAUUUAAAACCUGAAUCAGUCUAAACGAUUAUAAUAUUAUCUAUUAAGAAUUAAUUAAAGUAAAAUUGCCAUUUAUUAUUCAACUUUCUGUUGCAGGACUUGGGUUAAGUCAAGAUUUUUGGCAGUGGCUAUUCUGAAGGUUGUGUCAUUAUUACUAGUCAACCUUUGGUAAAAUAAGUAAAGUUUUACUUGCGAUGGGAAACAU